UACGGGGGGGGCAAGCGUUGUUCGGAAUUACUGGGCGUAAAGGGCUCGUAGGCGGCCAACUAAGUCAGACGUGAAAUCCCCAGGCUCAACCUGGGAACUGCGUCUGAUACUGGAUGGCUUGAAUCCGGGAGAGGGAUGCAGAAUUCCAGGUGUAGCGGUGAAAUGCGUAGAUAUCUGGAGGAACACCGGUGGCGAAGGCGGCGUUCUGGACUGCAACUGACACUGAUGAACGAAAGCCAGGGGAGCAAACGGG
rnacentral:rRNA from 1 species